rnacentral:rRNA from 1 species
UAGUUUGAUCAUGGCUCAGAACGAACGCUGGCGGCGUGCUUAACACAUGCAAGUCGAACGAGAAAGCUCCUUCGGGAGUGAGUAGAGUGGCGCACGGGUGAGUAAUACAUAGGAACGUACCAUUUAGUGGGGAAUAACUACCGGAAACGGUGGCUAAUACCGCAUAAUGUCUUAUAAGUAAAGUUAUAUUGAUUAAAGGAGGCCUCUGCUUGCAUGCUUUCGCUAAAUGAUCGGCCUAUGUCCCAUUAGCUUGUUGGUAGGGUAAUGGCCUACCAAGGCAACGAUGGGUAGCUGGUCUUAGAGGAUGAUCAGCCACACUGGGACUGAGACACGGCCCAGACUCCUACGGGAGGCAGCAGUGGGGAAUCUUGCACAAUGGGCGGAAGCCUGAUGCAGCAACGCCGCGUGAGUGAAGAAGGCCUUUGGGUCGUAAAGCUCUUUCAGCUAGAAAGAAGGGAGAUAAAGUUAAUACCUUUAUCUUCUGACGGUACUAGUAGAAGAAGCACCGGCUAAUUCCGUGCCAGCAGCCGCGGUAAUACGGAAGGUGCAAGCGUUGUUCGGAUUGACUGGGCGUA